CGUAAUUGGACCUAAAACGGCCUGAGGUAGAGGGGUUUUAGUCGGUAGGUCCGAGGACUCCUUCCUCGGGAAUCCGACACUACCCAGUCGUACGGACGGCUGGGUGUCUUUUGAACAUUUCCCCUCUUCCACG
rfam:Agrilus planipennis Contig38518, whole genome shotgun sequence.